GAUGAACGCUGGCGGCGUGCCUAAUACAUGCAAGUCGAGCGAAGCGGGGACGGGAGAGUAACACGUGGAUAACCUCCUAUAAGACUGGGAUAACUUCGGGAAACCGGAGCUAAACCGGAUACUUAGAGAUGGAACCGCGCUGCAUUAGCUAGUUGGUAAGGUAACGGCUUACCAAGGCAACGAUGCAAAGCCGACCUGAAAGGUGCAUCGUCCGUCCUGUAGCUGAGACACGGUCCAGACUCCUCCGGGAGGCAGCAGUAGGGAAUCUUCCCCAAUGGGCGAAAGCCUGCCGGCGCAACGCCGCGUGAGUGAUGAAGGUCUUCGGAUCGUAAAACUCUGUUAUUAGGGAAGCGGUACCUAAUCAGAAAGCCACGGCUAACUACGUGCCAGCAGCCGCGGUAAUUC
rnacentral:rRNA from 1 species